AAAGUCGUAACAAGGUAUUCGUAGGUGAACCUGCGUAUGGAUCAUUAACGUCUUUUUCUCUUCUAUGAGAAAAUGAAAACGAUAAAAUUCGCACAAUUUGUUUUUGUGUGUGUAUUUCUAUUCUCAUUAGAGAUGGAAGAAAACUAUACAUACACACAAGAUAGAUUGUGUCGUACCCUAAUGUGAAUCUUUGAUAGCCUCAAAAAUGUGUUGGAUUAUUGUCAUUAGAAUAAUAAUCUUCAAGCAUCGCCAUUAUUUUGAUGUGCUUAAAAACCUUUCCUUAUAAUAUCACUGUUAUUGGAAAUGAAAAUAAAAAUUUAAAAAAAUAAACAGAAUAUAAUUCUGUACGGUGGAUCACUAGGCUCGU
rnacentral:misc_RNA from 1 species